rnacentral:RNase_P_RNA from 1 species
CAAAUCGGACAAUUGCGCGAUGAAAGACUCGUGAGGAAGGUCCAUGCCCGCCCGAUCUGCGAUGAUUGGAGUGUUUGUACUGAGCCUAAUAAGCGAAGGCAGUUGCGGCAUUAGUUGCAGAUGACGGCAGAAAAAAAGACUAAGGCUUCGGCUAUGUCUGAUUAUUCUAUAAAAGUGCUAUAGUGACGAAGAACCGGAAAACCGGGGAAAUGAGACGGCGUAAACCCUGCAAGCGGGCAACCCAAACUUUUGGUAGGGGCGGUCAAUUUAACCAACUGAAGCAAAAAUUGACACUUGGAUUUGCGCGAGUAAAUGCAAGUAGAUAGAUAAUUGUCGAAAAUUGUGCUCGCCAAGUACAAUUGGAACAUAACAUGGCCUAUAGAU